rnacentral:sRNA from 1 species
CCUCACUCUGUCACUAGAGUGAGGGGGUGACUAGUGACAGAGUGAGGGAAGGAGUGACUAGUGGCACAGUGAGGGAAGGAAGGGGUGACUAGUGACAGAGUGAGGGAGGUGGUGACUGUCACUAGUCACCACCUCCCUCACUGUCACUACUCCCUCCCUCCUUCUGUCACUAGUCACGCCCUCCCUCACUCUGUCACAUGUCAUCCCCUCCCUCACUCUGUCACCAGUCAUCCCCUUCCCUCACUCUGUCACCCCCUCACUCUGUCACUAGUCACCCCCUCACUCUAGUGACAGAGUGAGGG